rnacentral:rRNA from 1 species
GCAAACCCGCUGAACUGAAACAUCUAAGUAGGCGGAGGAGAAGAAAACAAAAGUGAUUGCGUAAGUAGUGGCGAGCGAACGCGCAGAAGCCCAAACCAAAGUUGUUACGGCAAUUUUGGGGUUGUAGGACCACGAUAUUGUAUGCAAAGCGAAUAAGAAUCAUCUGGAAAGAUGAACCGCAGAGGGUGAUAGUCCCGUAUUGGUAAGCGAUGUAAUGCAUAGUGGUAUCCUGAGUAGGUCGGGGCACGUGAAACCUUGAUUGAAACCGGCGGGACCAUCCGCCAAGGCUAAAUACUCCUGAGAGACCGAUAGUGAACCAGUACCGUGAGGGAAAGGUGAAAAGAACCGUGAAUAACGGAGUGAAACAGAACCUGAAACCAUACGCCUACAAGCGGUCGGAGCCCAUUCGUUGGGUGACGGCGUGCCUUUUGCAUAAUGAGCCUACGAGUUACCGUUGCUGGCAAGGUUAAGUACUUCAGGUACGCAGCCGAAGCGAAAGCGAGUCUUAAUAGGGCGCUGUAGUCAGUAAUGGUAGACGCGAAACCGUGUGAUCUACCCAUGGGCAGGUUGAAGUUUGGGUAACACCAAAUGGAGGACCGAACCGGUUGACGUUGAAAAGUCUUCGGAUGACCUGUGGGUAGGGGUGAAAGGCCAAUCAAACUCGGAAAUAGCUCGUACUCCCCGAAAUGCAUUUAGGUGCAGCGCUGAUAUAGUUUAUUAGAGGUAGAGCUACUGAUUGGAUGCGGGGGCUUCACCGCCUACCAAUUCCUGACAAACUCCGAAUGCUAAUAAAUGAUUUACAGCAGUGAGGGCAUGGGUGCUAAGGUCCAUGUCCGAGAGGGAAAGAACCCAGACCAUCAGCUAAGGUCCCCAAAUGUAUGCUAAGUUGAAAAAACGCGGUUUGAUUGCCCCGACAGCUAGGAUGUUGGCUUGGAAGCAGCCAUUCAUUUAAAGAGUGCGUAACAGCUCACUAGUCGAGCGAUCGAGCAUGGAUAAUAAUCGGGCAUAAGCAUACUACCGAAGCUAUGGAUUGUACAUUGUACAGUGGUAGGGGAGCAUUCUAAACCGGGUAGAAGGUGAUUUGUGAGAAUUGCUGGACUGUUUAGAAAAGAAAAUGUAGGCAUAAGUAACGAUAAUGCGGGCGAGAAACCCGCACACCGUAAGACCAAGGUUUCCGCAGCUAUGCUAAUCAGCUGCGGGUUAGUCGGGACCUAAGGCACACCCGAAGGGGGACGUCGAUGGCCAACGGGUUAAUAUUCCCGUACUUGUACUAGUUGUGAUGGAGUGACGCAGUGGUGAAAGUACCGCGAACUGACGGAAUAGUUCGUUAAAGCACGUACCUAUAAGAUCUAUAGUAAAAUGCGUAGAUUUUGGAGAAAUGCGAUAGUACUCGGAGCCUUCGGGCAAAGAGAUAGUGUACCUAAAGGCUGUCAAGAAAAGCUUCUAAACUUAGAUUAUUACAACCCGUACCGCAAACCGACACAGGUGGUCGAGGAGAGUAUCCUCAGGUGCUCGAGAGAUUCAUGGCUAAGGAAUUAGGCAAAAUAGACCUGUAACUUCGGGAGAAAGGUCGCCAGCGCAAGCUGGCCGCAGUGAAAAGGUCCAGGCGACUGUUUAUCAAAAACACAGGGCUCUGCCAAAUCGUAAGAUGAAGUAUAGGGCCUGACACCUGCCCGGUGCUGGAAGGUUAAGAGGAGAUGUUAUCUUCGGAGAAGCAUUGAAUUGAAGCCCCAGUAAACGGCGGCCGUAACUAUAACGGUCCUAAGGUAGCGAAAUUCCUUGUCGGGUAAGUUCCGACCUGCACGAAUGGUGUAACGAUCUGGACACUGUCUCAGCCAUGAGCUCGGUGAAAUUGUAGUAUCGGUGAAGAUGCCGAUUACCCGCAGUGGGACGAAAAGACCCUGUGCACCUUUACUAUAGCUUAGUAUUGUUCUUGGAUAAGUGAUGUGUAGGAUAGGUGGGAGACUGUGAAAUGGCGUCGC